rnacentral:rRNA from 1 species
UACAGAGGUCUCAAGCGUUGUUCGGAUUCAUUGGGCGUAAAGGGUGCGUAGGUGGCGCGGUAAGUCGGGUGUGAAAUCUCGGAGCUUAACUCCGAAAUUGCAUUCGAUACUGGCGUGCUUGAGGACUGGAGAGGAGACUGGAAUUUAGGUGUAGCAGUGAAAUGCGUAGAGAUCAUGAGGAAGACCAGUGGCGAAGGCGGGUCUCUGGACAGUUCCUGACACUGAGACACGAAGGCCAGGGGAGCAAACGGG